ACUUUAUUUAAACUUAUUGCAAAUGAUAAUGAGCAAAGUAUGUAAUGUCUAAUGAUUUUGUCCCUUGAAACUCCAUAGAGUUUCUAGGAUUAAACCCUGAAGGGGGAAAUGUUUUCAUUGCAGUGACUUUUUGAUUUUAUGUGGAUGUGGGUGAUGCUGAUAAAACAAACCAUAACCCAUUUUACCAACGCAUAAAUUAUUCAGAUUUGUGAAAGCAAUUGCAGUAACGAAGGUUUCAAAAACACAUUAUAAGGUUAUAUUUUCAGGUUGGCACUAAUCUGUCGUGCCUUUGGACCAGGGGGAGUUUAUAGACACCACAAUAUAUAUUUUUAUAAGCUUAAGUUUAGAUUUGGAAUCUGCUGUUUGUGAAAAAUUAGUAACUAAAUAGAAACUGAGGUUUACAAAGAAUCACAGAAAGACAGAGAGCAGGUAUGUCCCGUUUGGGGGAAGAGAAGCAGAGGGAUAACGGUGGAGGACAGCAGGCGACAAGGACAACACUUUACACUGGACAUCGAGCCACACUUGUGGGUCUUUUUGAGGCACUGGAAAACAUGGUGUGUCCAUCUGGUCAAUCCAGUUAUAACUGCGAGGGUUCUUUUAAUCAAAGAAGCAGUGCCAAGUGGAAGAUUCUAGAUCAUGCCAUGGGAUUUCUUCUGGAGAAGGAGGCUUACCUCAGCAAACUCCUUGCACUGAAAGAAGUUUAUCUUUAUGAUGAUGGAGGACCAAAGAGUUUGGAAGACGUGCGAGACGAGUAUAGGAGCCUCUAUUCAAAAGGCUUUUUGCACAUCAGCAGACACAGCCGUAGAGCUCGAGUGCCUGAUGUAGAUGAAAGUGAUGAGAACAGUGAUGUGGACUCAACUGAUGAAGAAACGGACGAGCUACUUCUGUCCCAGUCAUCUGAGUCAUCCAUCCCCAACAUCCAGGAGUUUGAGGGAUAUCUCUUCUUCUACAGCGAGACUCUCGAGCUUCUCUUGCGCAGUGGAGUGCUUGCUCCAGAUCAGACAGGUCUUUCUGUAGUGUCCGAGGCCAUCUCAGGCCUGUGGAGCUCUCUUCCUCAAGAGCGAAGGGCAGAAGCACAGCAACAUGCUCUAGACCAGAGCUCUGUCUCAUUGGAAGGCCAAUCUGAGACCACUGACUCACAUCUCUUCAGCUUAAAUCCAUCUUAUGCUGUUCAGGAGAUACAAAUGGCUAUUGAUGGCCCUCUGUUUCUCAGCCAACAGUUCUUUCUUUGAAACCCCUGAGCUGAGACAUCCUCCAGCACCAUUAAUUUUGUUAAUGUGUCAAUAACAGGGUCUGCUAGCCACCUAAACAGGAUCUUUCCUCCAAGGCCUCUUCCAAUAUGAAAGUUGUUUUUCACUGUCUAGAGCACAUCAGGCAUAAGAGCAGAACAGGAGGCUUUUGUGAAAGCAUGUGUGAUUUACAGCCAGCCGUACCACAUGAUCUUGUGACUGCAGUCAUCAUUUCAUCUCCAAAAGGGUUCUGCGUAGGAGUAUCACUCUAUUCUCACGCACAGGGCUGCAGAAUUGCGUCUUCAACACUCUGAUAAUGGCACAGUGGUCCACUUCGGAAAACACUUUUGAUUUAUGAUAGCCUGACAUCCUAAAUACAUGCGUUUCAGAUUUCUCUUUUCACAAGCAGCGCCUCAGUAACGGAACCGUCGAUGGAAUAUUCACAGACUGAAAGAAAUAAGAUGAGAAAAAAAGAAAUCCUAACUCAAUACCGUGAGCAUUGAUCUACUUCAGGAUGCCUAUGAUGUGGUGCAGAGAGAUAUAGAUGCCGCUUCGGUAAACAGGCCUUCAGUACUGCAGAGCUGUGACUACGAGAAGCUGAGGCAAAUCUACAAGGAUAUUUCGGCCUUCAUCCAGAACCA